CCCAGACUCCUACGGGAGGCAGCAGUGGGGAAUAUUGCACAAUGGGGGAAACCCUGAUGCAGCGACGCCGCGUGAGUGAGGAAGUAUUUCGGUAUGUAAAGCUCUAUCAGCAGGGAAGAAAAUGACGGUACCUGACUAAGAAGCCCCGGCUAACUACGUGCCAGCAGCCGCGGUAAUACGUAGGGGGCAAGCGUUAUCCGGAUUUACUGGGUGUAAAGGGGGCGCAGACGGCAGCGCAAGCCAGGAGUGAAAGCCCGGGGCCCAACCCCGGGACUGCUCUUGGAACUGCGCGGCUGGAGUGCAGGAGAGGCAGGCGGAAUUCCUAGUGUAGCGGUGAAAUGCGUAGAUAUUAGGAGGAACACCAGUGGCGAAGGCGGCCUGCUGGACGACAACUGACGGUGAGGCGCGAAAGCGUGGGGAGCAAACAGGAUUAGAUACCCCUGUACG
rnacentral:rRNA from 1 species